AAUCAACGCUGGCGGCGUGCCUAACACAUGCAAGUCGAACGAGAAAGUGUAGCAAUACAUGAGUACAGUGGCGACCGGGUGAGUAACACGUGACUAACCUACCUUCUUGUGGGGAAUAACCUUCCGAAAGGAGGGCUAAUACCGCAUAACAUCGCGAGGUGAGAUUCCUUGUGAUCAAAGGAGCAAUCCGCAGGAAGAGGGGGUCGCGGCUGAUUAGCUAGUUGGUGAGGUAACGGCUCACCAAGGCAGUGAUCAGUAUCCGGCCUGAGAGGGCGCACGGACACACUGGAACUGAAACACGGUCCAGACUCCUACGGGAGGCAGCAGUGGGGAAUUUUGCGCAAUGGGGAAACCCUGACGCAGCAACGCCGCGUGGAGGAUGAAGGUCUUUGGAUUGUAAACUCCUUUCGAUCGGGACGAUGAUGACGGUACCGGAAGAAGAAGCACCGGCUAACUCUGUGCCAGCCGCCGCGGUAAUAC
rnacentral:rRNA from 1 species